GCUGGGCGUGGUGGUGCAUGCCUGUAAUUUCAGCUACUCGGGAGGCUGAGGCAGGAGAAUUGCUCGAACCUGGGAGGUGGAGGUUGCAGUGAGCCGAGAUCAUGCCACUGCAUUCCAGCCUGGGUGACAGAGCAAGACUCUGUCUCAA
ensembl:misc_RNA Metazoa_SRP Metazoan signal recognition particle RNA